rnacentral:rRNA from 1 species
UACGAACCGUGCGAACGUUGUUCGGAAUCACUGGGCUUAAAGGGCGCGUAGGCGGCCUGAUAAGUAGGGGGUGAAAUCCUGUGGCUCAACUGCAGGGCUGCCUCCUAGACUGUCGGGCUUGAGCACGGUAGAGGCAGAUGGAAUUCCCGGUGUAGCGGUGAAAUGCGCAGAUAUCAGGAAGAACACCCGUGGCGAAGGCGGCUCUCUGGGACGGUACUGACGCUGAGACGCGAAAGCGUGGGGAGCGAACAGG